UAGUAGAAUAGGUACCUAUUCGAAAGGACGCGUCGCGUAUCUAAGCGAUUUAUAUUUGCCUGUACUUAUUUUGUUAUUAUAUACAGUUAUGGAUUCUUUGCGCGUCUUGCUAGUUUUAAUAAUUGCUGUACUAAUAGUGCAGAAUGGGGAAUCGUUAAGAUGUUGGAUGUGUAACUCCAAUGCUGUUGGCGACGGAUGCACCGACCCUUUUCUCGGAUCCGCUGACGUAAGAUAUGACUAUAGGGUAUUCACGAGGGAUUGCAAUGGUCCACCCUUUCUAAUACAAAUACUGCCUAAUGGAACUAAACACGCAAAUGAACUGGGCCCUGGAUUGGAACUUUUCUGCCUAAAACUGACUGGAAAAGUUUUAGGAAAAGCAAAGUGGGUGAUGCGGACAUGCGCGUCAGGGUUUCCCAACCUCACUGAGACUUCUUGCAUGGGUUCCGACCCUGCAAGUACAACAGGGGGAAACAUAGAAACCUGCGACGCCUGCGCGGGCGAUUUGUGCAACUGGGCUACAAGACAAGGACCGCGGGCCGUUGUACUGUUCGUGCCACUUCUUUUGUUGCUGACGUUGACGUAAAGUGUCGGUGGGAUCCGUAUACCUAGUCACCAUC